rnacentral:rRNA from 1 species
UGGGGAAUAUUGGACAAUGGGCGCAAGCCUGAUCCAGCCAUGCCGCGUGUGUGAAGAAGGCCUUCGGGUUGUAAAGCACUUUCAGCGAGGAGGAAGGGUUGUGUGUUAAUAGUACACAGCCUUGACGUUACUCGCAGAAGAAGCACCGGCUAACUCUGUGCCAGCAGCCGCGGUAAUACAGAGGGUGCAAGCGUUAAUCGGAAUUACUGGGCGUAAAGCGCACGCAGGCGGUUGGUUAAGUCAGAUGUGAAAGCCCCGGGCUCAACCUGGGAAUUGCAUUUGAAACUGGCCAACUAGAGUACGUGAGAGGGGGGUAGAAUUCCAAGUGUAGCGGUGAAAUGCGUAGAGAUUUGGAGGAAUACCAGUGGCGAAGGCGGCCCCCUGGCACGAUACUGACGCU